GAAAAAACAACGACAUCAAACUGAAUGAAGAGAAGCACACUAGAGAGAAUGUACAAGUAAAACCAGGUUAAAAAAAAAUGCAGUAACCCAUAAUAUCCAAAUGAGACGAGGAGAGUACCACAGGCCAACCUACCUAAAAAGAAAAGGACAAUGAUACAACUGGGAAGGGCGGAGAGGGAAAAAUAUUUACCUCCUGUCAAAUUAUUCUUUCACAUGGUCUACAAUUUUAGGACUGGAGACUUCUUCUUUUGCUGUUUCAACGCCGAGCCAACGAGAAAAGUGAAGGAUGUUGAAUUUGCCAAAAUAAAAAUGUGAAACUCGUGCUGCAAAUUUUUAAAUAUCUGCCAGGUGAAUACAGAAAGCCAGCGAGCCAUGAACUGAGUGGGCUCUGAAAUCAGGGUCAACAACCAAUGCUCACAGAAAGCAGGUAACCGAAGUGACAUGCCACAAGCAAGAAUAGAACAGGUUAUGAGAAACAUAUGCCUUGGCGCAACCUACAGAUCAAGAAAUCCUAACCCACCGGAAUACCCAAGACAGGAACGUGAAUGCAGAAAUAGCGGAUUUAAAAAUUUUCACCAUGCGAUAGAACCCUCAGAAAAUACUCAGAAUGGAAACUAGAGGAUAAAUGAAGGGAUCGAGUCCCUUUCCCUAGCACCAGGUGUAUCCAUAUGUCAGGAGCUCAAGAGUCCCAAAGGAGGGUCUUCGUGAGGUGAGAUAGUCCAGCGGCAUUCCAGGAACCCCAGACCAUUUACUGUAGCCAGUCCAGCCUGACAACAUCCCAUAGGAUCCAGGAACCAUGGUUGGUGCCAGAGGUGUGAUCAGCACAAGAGAC